rnacentral:rRNA from 1 species
ACCCUAGGUCAGGCGGGAUCACCCGCUGAGUUUAAGCAUAUCAAUAAGCGGACGAAAAGAAACUUACUAGGAUUCCCCUAGUAACAGCUAGCAAAUUGAGAAGAGCCCAGCUUGAGAAUCGGGUGCCCCGGCAUCCGAAUUGUAGUAUGGACAAGUGUCCUCAGUGGCGGACCGGGCCCAAGUCCCCUGGAAAGGGGCGCUGGAGAGGGUAAGAGCCCCAUUGUGCCCAAACCUUGUUGCACCACGAGGCACUGUCCGUGAGUCAGGUUGUUUGGGAAUGCAGCCCCAUCGGGCGGUAAAUUCUGUCCAAGGCUGAAUACGGGUGGGAGACCGAUAGCGAACAAGUAUCGUGAGGGAAAGAUGAAAAAUACUUUGAAAAGAGAGUAAAAAAGUGCUUGAAAUUGUCGGGAGGGAAGCAGAUGAGGGCCGGUGAUGCACCCCGGUCGGAUGUGGAAUGGCGAGAGUCGAUCCAUCGAUCGACUCGGGGCAUGGAUCGACGCUGGUAACGAUGGUGGCCCAAGCCUGGGAUUUCGAUGUGCCCGUGGAGACAUCGUCGUCGUGAUCGUGGAACGCAGCACGCAUCGUCUCGACAUGCCCCGGCACUAGCGUGCUCCAGGCAUCAGCCUGUGGGCUCCCCAUCCGACUCAUCUUGAAACACGGACCAAGGAGUCUGACAUGCAUGCGAGUCAACGGGCCAAAAAACUCGUAAGGUAUAAGAAAGCUGAUUGGUAGGAUCUCUCGCGGGUGCACCGCUGACCAACCUUGAUCUUUUGAGAAGGGUUCGAGUGCGAGCAUACCCAUCGGGACCUGAAAAUGGUGAACUAUGCCUGAAUGGGGCAAAGCCAGGAGAAACUCUGGUGGAGGCUUGUAGCAAUACUGACAUGCAAAUCAUUCGUCUAACUUGGGUAUAGGGGUGAAAGACUAAUCGGACAGUCUAGUAGUUGGUUCCCUCCGAAGUUUCCCUCAAGAUAGCUGGAGCCCCUGUCGAGUUCUAUCAGGUAAAGCCAAUGAUUAGAGGCAUCAGAAGCGUAACGCCCUCGACCUAUUCUCAAACUUUAAAUAGGUAGGACGACGCCAUGGAAUCGAGAGCUCCAAGUGGGCUAUUUUUGGUAAGCAGAACUGGCAAUGUGGGAUGAACCGGAAGCCGGGUUACGAUGCCCAACUGUGUGCUAACCCAAAACCCAUAAAGGGUGUUGGUCAAUUAAGAUAGCAGGACGGUGGUCAUGGAAGUCAAAAUCCACUAAGGAGUGUGUAACAACUCACCUGUCGAAUCAAGUAGCCCUGAAAAUGGAUGGCGCUUAAGCGCGCGACCUAUACCCGACCAUCGGGGCAAGGGCCAGGCCUUGAUGAGUAAGAGGGCGCGACGAUCGCCGUAAAACCCGGGGCCCGAGCCCGGGCGAAGUGGUCGUCGAUGCAGAACUUCGUGGUAGUAGCAAAUAUUCAAAUGAGAACUUUGAAGGUCGAACAGGGAAAAGGUUCCAUGUGAACGGCACUUACACAUGGGUUAGUUGAUCCUAAGAGACGGGCCCGUCCGACAGCGCGUCUCACACGAGCUUCAAAGGGAAUCGGGUUAAAAUUCCUAAACUGGGAUGCGUGGCUGACGGCAACGUUAGGGAGUUCGAAGAUGUUGGCGGGGGCCUCGGAAAGAGUUAUCUUUUCUAUUUAACGGCCCGUCCACCCUGAAAAUGGCUCAGUCGGAGGUAGGGUCCAGCGGUCGGAAGAGCACCACAUGUUGCGUGGUGUCUAGUAUGCCCUCAAUGGCCCUUGAAAAUCUAGAGGACCGAGUGCCGUCUGCACCCGAUCAUACUCAUAACCGCAUCAGGCCUCCAAGGUGAACAGCCUUUGGUCGAUGGAACAAUGUAGGUAAGGGAAGUUGGCAAAAUGGAUCCAUAACCUUGGGAAAAGGAUUGGCUCUGAGGGCUGGGCACGGGGGUCCCAGUCCCAAACUGAUCAACUAUCGGUGCACUGCUCGAGUUGCUUUCACGAUGAGAGCGAUUGUCAUGUGUCAGUCGGGGGACGGACUGGGAAUGGCUCCCUCGGGGGCCUUCCUCGGGCGGCGAGCAGUCAACUUAAAACUGGUAUGGACAAGGGGAAUCUGACUAUUUAAUUAAAACAAAGCAUUGCGAUGGUCCCUGCGGAUGCUCACGCAAUGUGAUUUCUGCCCAGUGCUCUGAAUGUCAAAGUGAAGAAAUUCAACCAAGCAAGGGUAAACGACGAGAGUAACUAUGACUCUCUUAAGGUAGCCAAAUGCCUCGUCAUCUAAUUAGUGACGAGCAUGAAUGGAUUAACGAGAUUCCCACUGUCCCUGUCAACUAUCCAGGGAAACCACAGCAAAGGGAACGGGCUUGGCGAAAUCAACAGCGAAAAAAAACCUUAUUAAGCUUGACUCUAGUCUGACUUUGUGAAAUGACUUGAGAGGUGUAGGAUAAAUGGGAGCCCCUAGGCGAAAUUGAAAUACCACUACUUUUAACGUUAUUUUACUUAUUCCGUGAAUUGGAGGUAGGGUACGACCCCUUCUUUUGGACCCAAGGCCGACCUCAGUCGGUCGAUCCGGGCAGAAGACAUUGUCAGGUGAAGAGUUUGGCUAGGGCGGCACAUCUAUUAAAAGAUAACACAGGUGUCUUAAAAAGAGCUCAAUGAGAAUAGAAAUCUCGUGUGGAACAAAAGGGUAAAAACUCAUUUGAUUCUAAUUCCCAAUACGAAUAUAAACUGUGAAAGCGUGGCCUAUCAAUCCUUUAGACCUUCGAGAUUUGAAGCUAGAGGUGUCAGAAAAGUUACCACAGGGAUAACUGGCUUGUGGCAGCCAAGCGUUCAUAGCGAUGUUGCUUUUUGAUCCUUCGAUGUCGGCUCUUCCUAUCAUUGUAAAGCAGAAUUCACCAAGUGUUGGAUUGUUCACCCACCAAUAGGGAAUGUGAGCUGGGUUUAGACCGUCGUGAGACAGGUUAGUUUUACCCUACUGAUGGUAGCAUCGCGAUAGUAAUUCAACCUAGUAUGAGAGGAACCGUUAAUUAGCACAAUUGGUCAUCGUGCUUGGUUGAAAAGCCAGUGGCACGAAGCUACCAUGCGUUAGAUUAUGACUAAAUGCCUCUAAGUCAGAAUCUGGGCUAAAAGCGACGCGCGCGCCCAUCGCCCGAUUGCAGACCCACAGUAGGGGCCCAUGGCCCCUAAGGGCACGUGUCGUAGGUGCAGCCCCUGCGGUGGACGAGCCGCACGGGCCUUCUUGGAGCUCAAUUCCUAUCGAGCGAUGGGUAAAAUCCUUGGCAGACGACUUAAAUAAGCGACGGGGUAUUGUAAGUGGCAGAGUGGCCUUGCUGCCACGAUCCACUAAGAUUCAGCCCUUUGUCGCUUUGAUUCGU